GGGAGGUGGACGUUCGUUAAGUUUAACAGCAAUAUCAUUGGCAAUAAAAUUGUGGUUAAAUCAGAGGUUGUGAAUGGACGGUACGCGCUGGAUCAAGGAUUGGUCCUUGAAAAGAUGACAUUAUUAGGUUUGGAAAAUGUGAGAGGAUUGAAGAGCUAUGAGCUUGUUGGAUCACACCAGCAAGGGAACACAACAAUGAAGGAAAAACUUAAACAGAGUGGACAGUUUGUUGCUAUGGAAAUCUCAGAGAUGUCAAUACUGAUAGGGAAAGAGUUCAAAUUGGAGCUAUACAUCAUUACUUAAACAAAUGAAUUGUGUUAUAUAAGCUUGCUGUAUGAAAUUUUCUCACACUAUCAAUGCCGUUUAAUUUAUGAUAUUAUGUUCUUCCUAUUUUUACCAACUUACCUGUUAAUGUUUAU
rnacentral:misc_RNA from 1 species